rnacentral:rRNA from 1 species
AUGAAUCCUAAUGUCCGCGUUACUCAUCCAUGUGCAGAGGGGAAUAGCAGGUUAUGCGUCUCGGUGAGAGACUACUACUGUUACAUGCUCCAGACACGGCCUGGGAUAUUCAAUCCCAUACUCUGUGGAGCACGAUUGCUCCAGCAAUGGGGGGUGGACAUGUACAUCAAGAUUGAGAGUUGUAGGUUGAAAUGGUACAGGAAGAACCAGACAAAGAUCCGUGCCGACCUGUAUAAAGGAGUUGUUGAUGCAAUUACAUCCGGGGAGACCCGGGCAAGCGCUGUUGGAGUAAGGAUAGUGCUCCCUGGAACGUACCCAGGUGGCGACCGCGACAUGAAGCGGAGGCAUAUGGAUGCCAGGGCAAUUGUCCAUACCUACGGGAAGCACCUGCAACCCUAA